rnacentral:rRNA from 1 species
UACGUAGGGGGGCAAGCGUUGUCCGGAUUUAUUGGGCGUAAAGCGCGUGUAGGCGGCCACGCAGGUCCGCUGUGAAAAACUCGAGGCUCAACCUCGAGCUGUCGGUGGAAACCGCGUGGCUAGAGUCCGGAAGAGGGGGACUGGAAUUCCCGGUGUAGCGGUGGAAUGCGCAGAUAUCGGGAGGAACACCGGUGGCGAAGGCGGCCUUCUGGGACGGAUACUGACGCUGAGACGCGAAAGCGUGGGGAGCAAACAGG